rnacentral:rRNA from 1 species
UGAGGAAUUUUGCGCAAUGGGCGAAAGCCUGACGCAGCGACGCCGCGUGGAGGAAGAAGGUCUUCGGAUCGUAAACUCCUGUCAAGGGGGACGAAUGCCGACGGGAUGAAUAAGCCCGCCGGUUGACGGUACCUCUGGAGGAAGCCCCGGCUAACUCCGUGCCAGCAGCCGCGGUAAUACGGAGGGGGCCAGCGUUGUUCGGAAUUAUUGGGCGUAAAGGGCGCGUAGGCGGCUCGGCAAGUCAGUUGUGAAAUCCCUCGGCUCAACCGAGGAACUGCGACUGAAACUGCCGGACUUGAGUCCCGGAGAGGGUAGCGGAAUUCCCAGUGUAGCGGUGAAAUGCGUAGAUAUUGGGAGGAACACCGGUGGCGAAGGCGGCUACCUGGACGGGUACUGACGCUGAGGCGCGAAAGCGUGGGGAGCAAACAGGAUUAGAUACCCCCGUAGUCC